rnacentral:rRNA from 1 species
UGACCUCGGUCAGGUAGGAAUACCCGCUG